UGGGGAAUUUUGCGCAAUGGGCGAAAGCCUGACGCAGUAACGCCGCGUGGAGGAUGAAGGCUCUCGAGUUGUAAACUCCUGACUGGGGGAAAGAUUAUGACGGUACCCCCAAAGAAAGCCCCGGCUAAUUCCGUGCCAGCAGCCGCGGUAAUACGGAAGGGGCAAGCGUUGUUCGGAAUCAUUGGGCGUAAAGGGCGCGCAGGCGGUCUCAUAUGUCUGCUGUGAAAUCACACGGCUCAACCGUGUUAAGCCGCAGAAACUGUGAGACUUGAGGCUGGGAGGGGCUGGUGGAAUUCCCUGUGUAGCGGUGAAAUGCGUAGAGAUGGGGGAGAACACUCGUGGCGAAGGCGGCCAGCUGGACCAGUUCUGACGCUGAGGCGCGAAAGCGUGGGGAGCAAACAGGAUUAGAUACCCCCGUAGUCC
rnacentral:rRNA from 1 species